CAAGAACAGAAGUGGUACUGUAGCUACAGGAGUCACUGGGGCGCUACUCAGCAUGGUAGCCCUUGCUGCUGGAGCACUGCUGUUUUACUUCUGGCUCUCAAGAAAAGCAGGAGAAAAGUCUGCCUCUGAUGUCUCCAGGAGCCCUUCAGAUUCUCACCCCCAAGAAACCAUCUACCACAAUGUACCAGCCUGGAUAGAACUGCAGCCAGUAUACAUCAAUGGUAAGGGCAGAGGGUGCUCUGUUUUGGCAGGGGCUAAAGGGUUGGUGUG
rnacentral:lncRNA from 1 species